rnacentral:rRNA from 1 species
GUUGUAUAGUUAAGUGAGAAAGCGUACAGGGCGGAUGCCUUGGCAAUCAGAGGCGAAGAAGGACGUGCUAAUCUGCGAAAAGCGUGGGUGAGUUGAUAAGAAGCGUUUAACCCACGAUGUCCGAAUGGGGAAACCCGAUAGGCGAAGAGCCUAUCAUUGCGAGGUGAAUAAAAUAGCCUCGUAAGGCGAACCGGGAGAACUGAAACAUCUAAGUACCCCGAGGAAAAGAAAUCAACCGAGAUUCUGUGAGUAGCGGCGAGCGAAAGCGGAGGAGCCAGUAAGUAAUAGCAGCAGAGAUAGAGGAAUUGUCUGGGAAGGCAAGCGACACAGGGUGAUAGCCCCGUACUUAAAAUCCAGGCUGUGGUACUAAGCUUACGAGAAGUAGGGCGGGACACGAGGAAUCCUGUCUGAAGAUGGGGGGACCAUCCUCCAAGGCUAAAUACUCCUGAUUGACCGAUAGUGAACCAGUACUGUGAAGGAAAGGCGAAAAGAACCCCGGUGAGGGGAGUGAAAUAGAACCUGAAACCCUGUACGUACAAGCAGUGGGAGCCCGCAAGGGUGACUGCGUACCUUUUGUAUAAUGGGUCAGCGACUUAUAUUUUGUAGCGAGGUUAACUGAAUAAGGGAGCCGAAGGGAAACCGAGUCUUAACUGGGCGUUUAGUUGCAAGGUAUAGACCCGAAACCCGGUGAUCUAGCCAUGGGCAGGUUGAAGGUUGGGUAACACUAACUGGAGGACCGAACCGACUAAUGUUGAAAAAUUAGCGGAUGACCUGUGGCUGGGGGUGAAAGGCCAAUCAAACCGGGAGAUAGCUGGUUCUCCCCGAAAUCUAUUUAGGUAGAGCCUUGUGUGAAUACCUUUGGGGGUAGAGCACUGUUUCGGCUAGGGGCCCAUCCCGGGUUACCAAACCGAUGCAAACUCCGAAUACCAAAGAGUAAUGCACAGGAGACACACGGCGGGUGCUAACGUCCGUCGUGGAGAGGGAAACAACCCAGACCGCCAGCUAAGGUCCCAAAAUCUAUAUUAAGUGGGAAACGAAGUGGGAAGGCUUAGACAGCUAGGAUGUUGGCUUAGAAGCAGCCACCAUUUAAAGAAAGCGUAAUAGCUCACUAGUCGAGUCGGCCUGCGCGGAAGAUGUAACGGGGCUAAAAUAUAGUACCGAAGCUGCGGCAUCAGGCGUAUCACUAAUACGCCUUAACGAUUAACCACUUGCGAAGCAAGUGGGUAAAGCGAAAAACACGUUGAGUGUAAUGGCAAAGAAUCGAAGAGGGAUAUUAGUGAUACGUCUGUUGGGUAGGGGAGCGUUGUGUAAGCGGAAGAAGGUGAUUUGAGAAGAUUGCUGGACGUAUCACAAGUGCGAAUGCUGACAUAAGUAACGAUAAAACGGGUGAAAAACCCGUUCGCCGGAAGACCAAGGGUUCCUGUCCAACGUUAAUCGGGGCAGGGUGAGUCGGCCCCUAAGGCGAGGCUGAAAAGCGUAGUCGAUGGGAAACGGGUUAAUAUUCCCGUACUUGGUAAAGCUGCGAUGUGGGGACGGAGAAGGUUAGGUUAUCGACCUGUUGGAGAUGGUCGUUUAAGUUGGUAGGUGGGUAAGUUAGGCAAAUCCGGCUCACCGUUAACACUGAGAGAUGAUGACGAGGCACCAAGGUGCUGAAGUAACUGAUACCACACUUCCAGGAAAAGCCACUAAGCUUCAGGCUUUACUAAACCGUACUGAAAACCGACACAGGUGGUCAGGUAGAGAAUACUCAGGCGCUUGAGAGAACUCGGGUGAAGGAACUAGGCAAAAUAGCACCGUAACUUCGGGAGAAGGUGUACCGGCGUAGAUUGUAGUGACUUGCUCACGAAGGUUGAACCGGUCGAAGAUACCAGCUGGCUGCAACUGUUUAUUAAAAACACAGCACUCUGCAAACACGAAAGUGGACGUAUAGGGUGUGAUGCCUGCCC